UUAAAAGAAAUUAGAUUGAUUAAUUUUACACUUACGUUCAUAAACAACAAGUUAGGAAAAUUGCUUUUAGUUCGUUCAAUUGUGCCCCUUAAAGAGACCUGCACUUCUAGUAAUAUCGCAGUAUUUUCAUUUUUCGAUCGAUCACAAUAUACAAUGUACUGUUAAGUAUCCAUAUGUUAAAGAAAAAUAGCAACAAAAGUUA